AACGAACGCUGGCGGCAUGCCUAACACAUGCAAGUCGAACGAUACCUUCGGGUCUAGUGGCGCACGUGUGCGUAACGCGUGGGAACCUGCCCUUAGGUUCGGAAUAACUCCCCGAAAGGGGUGCUAAUACCGGAUAAUGUCUUCGGACCAAAGAUUUAUCGCCUUUGGAUGGGCCCGCGUUGGAUUAGCUAGUUGGUAGGGUAAAAGCCUACCAAGGCGACGAUCCAUAGCUGGUCUGAGAGGAUGAUCAGCCACACUGGGACUGAGACACGGCCCAGACUCCUACGGGAGGCAGCAGUGGGGAAUAUUGGACAAUGGGCGAAAGCCUGAUCCAGCAAUGCCGCGUGAGUGAUGAAGGCCUUAGGGUUGUAAAGCUCUUUUACCCGGGAUGAUAAUGACAGUACCGGGAGAAUAAGCUCCGGCUAACUCCGUG
rnacentral:rRNA from 1 species